GAUGAACGUUGGCGGCGUGCCUAACACAUGCAAGUCGAACGAAAGUAGCAAUACUUUAGUGGCGCACGGGUGAGUAACACGUAGCUUACCUCCCUCUCAGCGCGGGAUAACGACUCGAAAGAGUUGCUAAUACCGCAUAAGCUCACGGGUUAUAGAGACUUGUGAGAAAAGGCGAAAGUCACUGAGAGACGGGGCUGCGGCCCAUCAGCUAGUUGGCGCGGUAAAGGCGCACCAAGGCGACGAC
rnacentral:rRNA from 1 species